UGGACUUGGCCAUUAGAUGUCGCGCCCGCCUCGCCAGCAAGGAAGACGCGGCAACCGGAGUUCUUCUGACAGUGCUUUAAUGGGGUUCCCUUUAGACUUACAUGAUACGGAAGACCCUGAGCACAAGCUCUCACACACUUAUAUACUCUAAGGAAGGAGGGAAGUGAUGGGGAUAGGUUAAAGGCACGCGAGGGUUAUUACUGAUAGGCCAAGCUAAGAUCCUUCAUAUGCAUACUUGAUGAGACAGGAAAAGCCCCUACACCUGCGCGGUUCACCCUGUUUAUCAGUCCUGUAGUAUCGGCGUGACCAGAAAGCCGGUGCCAUCUUGAAAUGGCGUUAACACCGCGCCCCACAUCUCCCCCUGUUUUAUUAAUUAAUGAGAACUGAGCAACCAAGAUCAAAGUCGCACCUGUGUUGACAGUCCCAGUUCCAUGCAAAGGCUGGCGCUAGGGUCAGAGGGUCCCAAGGCCAGCCCACUCUUUCAGGUGCUGAGUGGCUUGAUGAAUCCACGUUGCAAGGGCCUUAACUACGCCGGCUGGCAGGUUAUAACUACGCUGGCUGGCAGGUUAUGCGGUCUGCAGGGUUGUGCUCAAAGCUACAGCCAACGCUGCGGCAGCCGUAGCGAUAGCUGCAACAAUUGCAGCCGUGAUUCCAAAGUUCCUGCGAGUACAAGUGGAUGAUGUAGCAGGUGUCUCAGAUAAAUUCUGACCGAAAAAAGGCCAUCUCCUCUGUCCUCUGCGUCUUUUCUCCUUCUUUCUCUCCCUUUUCUCCUUCUUUCUCUCCCUUUUCUCCUUCUUUCUCUCCCUUUUCUCCUUCUUUCUCUCCCUUUUCUCCUUCUUUCUCUCUUUUCUUCUGGCAUCUGGCUUUGUCUUUCGCUCUGGCUCUUUUCGCUCUGGCUCUUUUCGCUCUGGCUCUUUUCGCUCUGGCUCUUUUCGCUCUGGCUCUUUCGCUGGCCUUUCGCUCGGCUCUUUUCGUCGGCUCUUUUCGCUCUGGUCUUUCCUGGCUCUUCGUUGCCUUUCGCUCUGGCUCUGGCUCUUUUCGCUCUGGCUCUGGCUCUUUUCGCUCUGGCUCUGGCUUUUUUCGCUCUGGCUCUGGCUCUUUUCGCUCUGGCUCUGCUUUUUUCGCUCUGGCUCUGGCUCUGGCUUUUUUCGCUCUGGCUCUCUUUUUUCCACCUUUUACCGCGGUCCUUCCCUUACUGCUUCUCUCUGAGCUUGCGUAUUACCCAUUAUGGAAGCAGGGGAGUUUUGGCCGUCCCACACGUCAGUUCUGAA
rnacentral:lncRNA from 1 species